UGUACUCCUCUCUGGGUUGAAGGUAGGGUGAGACUGUCAUUACUGUACUCCUCUCUGGGUUGAAGGUAGGGUGAGACUGUCAUUACUGUACUCUGGGUUGAAGGUAGGGUGAGACUGUCAUUACUGUACUCUGGGUUGAAGGUAGGGUGAGACUGUCAUUACUGUACUCUGGGUUGAAGGUGGGGUGAGACUGUCAUUACUGUACUCUGGGUUGAAGGUGGGGUGAGACUGUCAUUGCUGUACUCCUCUCUGGGUUGAAGGUGGGGUGAGACUGUCAUUGCUGUACUCCUCUCUGGGUUGAAGGUGGGGUGAGACUGUCAUUACUGUACUCCUCUCUGGGUUGAAGGUGGGGUGAGACUGUCAUUACUGUACUCCUCUCUGGGUUGAAGGUGGGGUGAGACUGUCAUUACUGUACUCCUCUCUGGGUUGAAGGUGGGGUGAGACUGUCAUUACUGUACUCCUCUCUGGGUUGAAGGUGGGGUGAGACUGUCAUUACUGUACUCUGGGUUGAAGGUAGGGUGAGACUGUCAUUACUGUACUCCUCUCUGGGUUGAAGGUAGGGUGAGACUGUCAUUACUGUACUCCUCUCUGGGUUGAAGAUGGGGUGAGACUGUCAUUGCUGUACUCCUCUCUGGGUUGAAGGUGGGGUGAGACUGUCAUUACUGUACUCUGGGUUGAAGGUAGGGUGAGACUGUCAUUACUGUACUCCUCUCUGGGUUGAAGGUGGGGUGAGACUGUCAUUACUGUACUCCUCUCUGGGUUGAAGGUAGGGUGAGACUGUCAUUACUGUACUCCUCUCUGGGUUGAAGGUAGGGUGAGACUGUCAUUACUGUACUCUGGGUUGAAGGUGGGGUGAGACUGUCAUUACUGUACUCUGGGUUGAAGGUGGGGUGAGACUGUCAUUACUGUACUCCUCUCUGGGUUGAAGGUGGGGUGAGACUGUCAUUACUGUACUCCUCUCUGGGUUGAAGGUGGGGUGAGACUGUCAUUACUGUACUCCUCUGGGUUGAAGGUAGGGUGAGACUGUCAUUGCUGUACUCCUCUCUGGGUUGAAGGUAGGGUGAGACUGUCAUUACUGUACUCUGGGUUGAAGGUAGGGUGAGACUGUCAUUACUGUACUCCUCUCUGGGUUGAAGAUGGGGUGAGACUGUCAUUGCUGUACUCCUCUCUGGGUUGAAGGUGGGGUGAGACUGUCAUUACUGUACUCUGGGUUGAAGGUGGGGUGAGACUGUCAUUACUGUACUCCUCUCUGGGUUGAAGGUAGGGUGAGACUGUCAUUACUGUACUCCUCUCUGGGUUGAAGGUAGGGUGAGACUGUCAUUACUGUACUCUGGGUUGAAGGUGGGGUGAGACUGUCAUUACUGUACUCCUCUGGGUUGAAGGUAGGGUGAGACUGUCAUUACUGUACUCCUCUCUGGGUUGAAGGUGGGGUGAGACUGUCAUUACUGUACUCCUCUCUGGGUUGAAGGUGGGGUGAGACUGUCAUUACUGUACUCCUCUCUGGGUUGAAGGUGGGGUGAGACUGUCAUUACUGUACUCUGGGUUGAAGGUGGGGUGAGACUGUCAUUACUGUACUCCUCUGGGUUGAAGGUGGGGUGAGACUGUCAUUGCUGUACUCCUCUCUGGGUUGAAGGUAGGGUGAGACUGUCAUUACUGUACUCCUGUCUGGGUUGAAGGUAGGGUGAGACUGUCAUUACUGUACUCUGGGUUGAAGGUAGGGUGAGACUGUCAUUACUGUACUCUGGGUUGAAGGUAGGGUGAGACUGUCAUUGCUAUACUCCUCUCUGGGUUGAAGGUAGGGUGAGACUGUCAUUACUGUACUCCUCUCUGGGUUGAAGGUAGGAUGAGACUGUCAUUACUGUACUCCUCUCUGGGUUGAAGGUAGGAUGAGACUGUCAUUACUGUACUCCUCUCUGGGUUGAAGGUAGGAUGAGACUGUCAUUACUGUACUCUCUGGGUUGAAGGUAGGAUGAGACUGUCAUUACUGUACUCCUCUCUGGGUUGAAGGUAGGGUGAGACUGUCAUUACUGUACUCCUCUCUGGGUUGAAGGUAGGGUGAGACUGUCAUUACUGUACUCCUCUCUGGGUUGAAGGUAGGAUGAGACUGUCAUUACUGUACUCCUCUCUGGGUUGAAGGUAGGGUGAGACUGUCAUUACUCCUCUCUGGGGUGAAGGUAGGGUGAGACUGUCAUUACUCCUCUCUGGGUUGAAGGUAGGAUGAGACUAAGGAGUUAUAUUUAUUUUGCUGUAGUCUUCAGUACUGAAGUCACUCAGUUGUUCUAUUAGCUGUAGUGAGAUCUGUAAACGUGUCCGUUUGUCUGAGGUAAGAUACAUGACCUAAAAACACUAUCGAUCAAUCGUACAUUUUCAUAAAAUGUAAAGUGUGUGUGUAUAUAUAUAUAUAUAUAUAUUCAUUGGAUGGUUUGUACUGAAGAUCUGACCAACAGUGGCUGGUUGCUGUGCAUUGUGGUUCACUGUCAUUCAUUUUAAUUUGUUGUCUCGGUGUGUGAAGUCUGGAAGGAAUUCCUCGGGUUUGUUAGACAGAGUCUUACAACACGGUUAACCUGUACUGGCUAAUAAAAUAAUGUCUGAAAAACA